GAGAAGCAUUUGGGGUGCCGAAAGGCUGAGAUCAUACCCAUUGAACCUGUUCUGGAUAAUGCCAGCGAAGGAAAAUGACGAUCAAGUAUA
rfam:Granulicatella elegans ATCC 700633 genomic scaffold supercont2.1, whole genome shotgun sequence.